rnacentral:lncRNA from 1 species
CCCGGUAUCUGGCUCUUCUAUAGAAUGGAAGCCUGCGUGGAAUCGCCAAGAUGGACCAGGCCAAGGAAGCUGCACGAUCUGCCGACGCACCUCAACAUGUCACUCGGUGCAUCUUUCUCUUGUAAGUUGUAAGGCCUCCAUGGAAUUGUUGGCUAUAUGCAUGGAAAUUAUCUCCAAUCAUGUGUUGUAGUUCUGAUCAUCUUCCAUAUUUUUUUUGUAAAUUUACCUAUUUCAUACUAAGGAUUAGGAGUCUUAUAAGAAAUGAAACUUUUAGUUUGUGUGUACGUAGACUGGGUAGUGUGUCCGUCAGAAGCAAAUCUGAUGGGGUUGCGCAACUGACACUACAGCAAAAUGUCGUGAAGCCCGCCUCGCCAUGGAGGAGAAUAACAUAUUGUUGUUCAAUGGGAUGCACAGUUUUUUGUUUGAUUCAUCAAGUAUCCUUGGUGCUAAUUUACAUGGCUUAGACGCAUUUGCUUUUUCUCAGUGGAAGAAUAUACCGUAAGGGCAGAUACUAAGCUUUUGUGAAAUUUUGGUUCCAAUCGGUGAUUUUCUUAUUAUAAACUGGUUGUGUCGCUACUUAAAUAUGGCAUAAGGAUUGAGGAUGUACUUAUUACUAGAAAUGAAUUUUUGCUAUGUAGAUUUACAUGCUGAAGUGAAGAAAUACCAUGUGCUGAUUCAUGUGAUUCUUCCCUCGCCGAAGGGUGAUAGUGGGUUCCCUGCAGUUUAAAUAUGCUUGUACUUUCAUACUUACCUUAGAUGCAUAUUUGUUUCUUUAAUCAUUUUCUUGUUUUCCUUCUACGGCCUAUCAUUGCAAUUUAACCUGAAUUUAUAUCCAUCUCCGCCAGAUAACCUACCAUAUUUAACCUUGAUUUGUUUGUUCAGUAAUUGGAUUAUUCAGAUUUUACUAACCUUAUCUGUAUCAUAUGUUUUUAUCCAGAACUACGUCACAUUUCACGUUUAAUUGCAUCAUUUUUUUAGUGCUACAGAUUACUCCCCUAUUAAUUCAAGUUGGAAAAUAACAGGAAAUACAACAUUCUGGCUCAUCUUUUCCUCGCAGAUGGAUAACCAACCAGGCGCGAAUUCGUUCCAAUUCCACUAAGUGUGCCCCGUUUCACAGACUUGACAUUGCAGGGACGGCAACUGGCUCCCUAGACACCUUGCCAAAUGCACCUCCAGAACAAGUAUAGUCACACACAUAUAACUCUUCAGAAGCUCA